rnacentral:rRNA from 1 species
AGCGCAACCCUACCGUUUAGUUGCUAACAGGUGAAGCUGAGCACUCUAGACGAACUGCCGUUGACAAAACGGAGGAAGGUGGGGAUGACGUCAAAUCAUCAUGCCCCUUAUGUUCUGGGCUACACACGUGCUACAAUGGCCGGUACAGACGGAGGCGAAGCCGCGAGGCGGAGCAAAUCCGAAAAAGCCGGUCUCAGUUCGGAUUGCAGGCUGCAAUUCGCCUGCAUGAAGUCGGAAUCGCUAGUAAUCGCAGGUCAGCAUACUGCGGUGAAUACGUUCUCGGGCCUU